CCCUUAGACGUUCUGGGCCGCACGCGCGCUACACUGACCAGUGCAACAAGCAUCCGUCCUUGGCCGACAGGCCCGGGCAAUCUUUGAACGCUGGUCGUGAUGGGGAUAGACUUUUGCAAUUUUUGGUCUUCAACGAGGAAUUCCUAGUAAACGCAAGUCAUCAACUUGCAUUGAUUACGUCCCUGCCCUUUGUAUACACCGCCCGUCGCACCUACCGAUUGAAUGGUCCGGUGAAGCCUCCGGAUUGGCGCGCACCUCGGUGCCGCCGAGAAGUUGGCUAAACCUUACCAUUUAGAGGAAGGUGAAGUCGUAACA
rnacentral:rRNA from 1 species